CCUACGGGGUGCAGCAGUGAGGAAUAUUGGUCAAUGGGCGCAAGCCUGAACCAGCCAAGUCGCGUGAGGGAUGACGGUCCUAUGGAUUGUAAACCUCUUUUGUCGGGGAGCAAGGCCCGCCACGUGUGGCGGGAAGGAGAGUACCCGAAGAAAAAGCAUCGGCUAACUCCGUGCCAGCAGCCGCGGUAAUACGGAGGAUGCGAGCGUUAUCCGGAUUUAUUGGGUUUAAAGGUUGCGGAGGCGGAAGGUUAAGUCAGCGGUAAAAUGUCGGUGCUCAACACCGGCCUGCCGUUGAAACUGGUCUUCUUGAGUGAGCGAGAAGUAUGCGGAAUGCGUGGUGUAGCGGUGAAAUGCAUAGAUAUCACGCAGAACUCCGAUUGCGAAGGCAGCAUACCGGCGCUCAACUGACGCUGAGGCACGAAAGCGUGGGGAUCGAACAGGAUUAGAUACCCUUGUAGUC
rnacentral:rRNA from 1 species